rnacentral:misc_RNA from 1 species
GUGGCGUUAGAAACUGUAGUAUACGAGCCGUCUGUGAAUCUGUGACCAAUGAAAUCUGUUACUUGGGAUAAUAUGUUUUGUGUCGGGCUUCGUCGUGCUUUCUGCUGCUGGAUGUCAAGAAAUUACUUAGCUUUUAAGAACGUGUCCACCAUGGACGUUUUACAACCAGGCCACCGAAUAUGGAUUAAGUUUCAUGCUUCGUAAAUUGAUAAAUGAUAACACUUUUUUUUUUUUUACAGAUUGUAUCACAUAUAGAUCCCGUGGUCCGUGCCAUAUGGUCUGCAGUUUUAUCUCGUGGUGUUUGUUGCAUCAAGCCAUUUGAGAUUAAAAGCUGUAAGCUGUGGAUAAAAUUUAUUCCUAACAAAGUACUGGAUGAUAAAUGUGCAUUCAAAGACUGGAUUUCUAUACCUCAAUGACUUCUCCCAAAAUAUUAUGAUGAAAAAUAACUUUAAAAGUUUUCCUAUUGAACCCACAGUUUGAAAAGUGGAACCUGUUGCAAUUAAUCUUAUUUCCAACAAAAUAGUUCAUUGUUGUAGAUUUCUACUAUACUCAAGAUAUGGUUAAAUUGAUUGCUGACCCUGUUUUCCUCCUUGAGCAUUCAAAACUACUUAUGGUAUCAAUUUGGGAGUCUUAUCAGUUCCUUUUAUAACCAUCAUCUAAUCCAGGUUGGUUAAAAGUCUAGCAUAAGAAAUACUAUUAGAGCAAUCUUUAAGAUAAAUGAUUAAUUUCCUUCCAGGACAAUCUUAUUUAAGUUAAAGAAAGAAUUGUCUUGCAAUAUUUUAAUUUUGGUUUUAAAAUGUGUGUUAAGUAGAGCUCAGCAAAUGAACAAACAAGUCCAAUACUACAUUCACAAAUCAAAAGUCCUAAGGUGUGAACCAUUUCUUUGUUUUCAGGUAAUAAAUUCUACAAUUGAUCCAUAGGUACAGUAUGAAAUUCAAGUACUGACUGGCUGUAAGCUGCAGCUUUUGUUAAUUUAUUCCAUAUCGCGUAUACGGAUUAGAAAAGCAAUUAGAAAGUAAAUAAGCAAAUAGAAGCCAUGGAUUGUAAAACAAUAACCAGAUGAGUGAGAUGGGCAGCUAUGAUAGUCUAAUCAUAAUGGAAGCAUUCAUCCUCUGCGUUGGUAACUGCACCAUAAGUAAAAUAUGUGGAGAUUGGUCAAUACAACAUUUUAAAAUCAUUUUAAACUUGUAACGAAUCGUUAAGCAUUCUACCCCGACUAUGGCCUACAGUUAAGGGCUGACAAAUUAUACUAUUUCUUUAUUCAAUUCGUAUUUAAACCCAAGGAGCCAGACUUAAGAGUUUGCAACAAAAAAAUCGUAUUCUCUAGGUUCGCACAAACAUGGGGCUCAUGUGGAGUUCAUGUGUCAAUCGGAUGGCAAUAUAAAAUUUCCUAAAAUCACAUAUUUUGCCUAUUAAAAUAAUUCGUUCCAGCCCUAAAUUUUGCAGGACUACUUUGUAUUUCCAGAAUUGUUUAGUUCAGAGUUGUAAACAUCCGGAAAAUUUGCAUGCAAAGCACUCUUUACUUAAAAAUCAAAUCAAUCAUCCAGUGAUUGAACGCUACCGUUGUCUGCAUGUCCGCCAUUUUAGCUGUGUGAACAUGAAAAAAAUUUGUGCUCUGUUGUUUUUUAAAUUAUCCCAUUGUUUUGUGCAUCUAGACCAGCAAACCUAGGCAGGUGGAAGCCUAGUAUAUUAACAAGUGAUGAUAAGUAGAAUGGCAGAUAGCAUACAAUUAAUGCUCAGACUGCAAAUUGGUUGAUGCAUUCUUAUGCUUUUGGUGUUUACUGUCUCUCAGUUCUUUGUCAGAGCACAGCAGAAACAUUUUUGCUUAAUUUAAUGCUAGAGCUUAUGCUAUACUUUACAAUGAAACUCUCAUGUAGGAUCGUGUGUUGACUCAAAAGGAUUGACUGAACUGUUUCACCCUCAGACCCACUAGUUCAGCUAUUAUGAUUUAAGAUAUAUGUGUUUUUACAUCUUUUUCAGCAUUGUGUUCCACAUCAUAACUUUUGUGUUUACUAAAUAUUCCCUUAUUUGAUUUCCCUGAAUCUUAAUUCAAAUAGCAAAACUGUAUAACCCAAGUGUUUGUGUCAAGCACUUGUUGAAACAAGAUUGAAGAUGAGAAGCAUCUCCUAUCUUUGGGUCAAGGAAACAAAGUCAUAAUUUUCGCCUCAUCGCCGUCUUUGUCUUCGCCGUUUUCGCCUUCACCUUCGCCAUCGUUUUAUCGCCGCCUUCGGUUUCGCCAUCGCCUCUGCCUUUGCCUGUGCCAUCGCCUCAUCUCUGUCUUUGCCUGCGCCAUCGCCUUGUUGUCGUCUUCGCGUUUACCUCAUCGCCGUCUUUGCCUUCACCUCAUCGCCGUCUGCGCCUUAUCACCAUCGCCUCAUCGCCGUCUUCGCCUCAUCGCCGUCUUCGCCUUAUCACCAUCGCCUCAUCGCCGUCUUCGCCUUCACCUUCGCCAUCGUUUCGUUGCUGCCUUCGCUUGCGCCGUCAUCUCAUCGCUGUCUUCAACUUCGCCAUCGUCUCAUCUCCGUCCUCAUCGCUGCCUAUAUCUUCGCCUGUGGCCUAAAACGAUGGAGCAAUCGUAUCCAGGAAAAAACUCAUGGCGAUUGAACGACCUAGCCGAGGUGAUUCCCUGGUAUAGUUUUGUGCUGUAUUUUUUAAUGUCGUGUUGUAUAGUUAACCCGUUGGCUGCCACCCCGUUUGCGCCCCAUUUUUUUUGUAGCUUAUAGGGACCGGCCGCGCUGUUCUACCUCAUGGUCUAUAGCCAUGGGGUGGAGCAGUCGCAAUGGCCUCGCCGCAAGGCGCUUUAGGCAAUGCACCAUUAGGGACUUCUCCUUGUCGAUGCGGUGGCGGAUUCCUGAGGGUGUGCAUUCCCUGUAACGGAUUCCGUCACCGUGUCAGCCCGGACUUGUCUUCGGACAAGUCCCCCUUGGUCGGCGAUCCUUCAGACACGAUGCGUAGCUAAUGUAGUUUAAGCAACCUACGGGUUGCGUGGCCUGGCAGCCAACGGGUUAACUAAUUUGUUGUAUGUGUGUGUUUGUGUGUGUUUAUAUGUAUGUAUGAAUACUUGUAUUUAUGUAUUGUUGUAUGUAAAACAGUGGAGGAAUUGAUGGGUGGAGGAGGGACAAUAAAAAAAUUCCAUUUA